rnacentral:tRNA from 1 species
CGCUGGUUCGCUUAGGCGGUAAAGCGCCCGGUUGAAGCCCGGGAGCCCCCCGUUCGAAUCGGGGACCAGCGG